GACGAACGCUGGCGGCGUGCUUAACACAUGCAAGUCGAACGGUGAAGGGACUGGUUUUGCUGGUCCUGGAUGAGUGGCGAACGGGUGAGUAACACGUGAGUAACCUGCCCCCUUCUUCUGGAUAACCGCAUGAAAGUGUGGCUAAUACGGGAUAUUCUGGGUCUGUCGCAUGGUGGGCCUGGGAAAGAUUGCGCCUUUUUUGGUGUUUUUGGUGGGGGAUGGGCUCGCGGCCUAUCAGCUUGUUGGUGGGGUGAUGGCCUACCAAGGCGGUGACGGGUAGCCGGCCUGAGAGGGUGGACGGUCACACUGGGACUGAGACACGGCCCAGACUCCUACGGGAGGCAGCAGUGGGGAAUAUUGCACAAGGGGCGCAAGCCUGAUGCAGCGACGCCGCGUGAGGGAUGGAGGCCGUCGGGUUGUGAACCUCUUUCGCCAGUGAAGCAGGCCUGCCUCUUUUUGUGGGUGGGUUGACGGUAGCUGGAUAAGAAGCGCCGGCUAACUACGUG
rnacentral:rRNA from 1 species